rnacentral:rRNA from 1 species
AGAGCGAACGCUGGCGGCAGGCCUAACACAUGCAAGUCGAGCGCCCCGCAAGGGGAGCGGCAGACGGGAGAGUAACACGUGGGAACGUACCCUUCAGUUCGGAACAACCCAGGGAAACUUGGGCUAAUACCGAAUACGUCCGUAAGGAGAAAGAUUUAUCGCUGAAGGAUCGGCCCGCGUCUGAUUAGCUUGUUGGUGAGGUAACGGCUCACCAAGGCUACGAUCAGUAGCUGGUCUGAGAGGAUGAUCAGCCUCAUUGGGACUGAGACACGGCCCAAACUCCUACGGGAGGCAGCAGUGGGGAAUAUUGGACAAUGGGCGCAAGCCUGAUCCAGCCAUGCCGCGUGGAUGAUGAAGGCCUUAGGGUUGUAAAAUCCUUUCGGCGGGGAAGAUAAUGACGGUACCGCAGAAGAAGCCCGGCUAACUUCGCGCCAGCAGCCGC